CUCUUAAAUAGAGCCUUAACUAAGAAUUUUUAAACCUGGAAUGAGCACCACAAACUUCACUCUGAGGCAGUCUUCAGAAAAGGAAUCCUUAUUUGGGGCUAGCAGCGAACACUACCCAGUGGAGGUGAAGGGAGUGGAGUUGUUGACCCUGUGAGUCUCAAAAGAUCAGGAAAGCAAACCACAGGAAUCCGGGAGUCAGAAUCCAGGCUAAGUUUUUCAGCCAGCCCAACUUUGAUGCCUUGAGGAACAAUGAAUAACUUUCAGGAGCAAACUUCUGGACUCUGACCAGUGGAAGCUGAAAUGAAGACUAAUUUGGAAGUCAUAAUACAUCUGGACAUGAACCUGGCCUAUGUGUUAACAAAUGACUCUCCUUGGGAGGCAGAUGCUUGAAGCUUCCGCAAGGGACACAACUUAACAAACUAAAGAAGGAAAAAUCUCUCAUCUGAUAUUGGAGGGUAUAGUGAAGAGGAAGAAGGGAUGUCUCCAGGUCCAUAUAGGGCCAUUCAAUCUAGCGGUCCAAUGGAGAAAACAAGUCCAGCAGAACAGCUUCUGGAGGGGCAGCAUCUGGAGGAGAGGAGAGCAGAGCAGUGAAUGGUAGACACUAUGUGUCCUGCAGCAUCCAGCAUAGACCAGGCCAACAGAGAUGAUGAGAAGAGCGUGACAUCAACCUGAGCGGCCCCUUCCCUACAUGUGCUCUGUGCAUGUGGGCCUCUGCCUGUGUUUCCUGGCCAGAGGUGUUCACUCCAUUUACAUCCAUCAGUGUGCUCACAUUAGCCUCACAUAUUCCCUUUGCAUGUGCCCUUCCUGGUGUGUUACCUGGCUACAGAUGUGUCUUUCCAUGUGUGUCCUUACAUAUGCCUAACUCUUCUCACUGACACAAUGUGCAUUUGGGGGAUAGCAUGCCUUGGGUGUAUAUUUCUGUUUCUUAUUAGGCCAUUUUAUUAACUGUUGAUAUUAAAGGCAAAAACAGUAGUGAAUGCUUGUGAACUAUG